CAAUGCGAGAACAGCGCUCAGGUACGAACUAUUGCAUUUGAAGAUUAGAACUCGAGCAGAAUUAAGAGAGGAAGUUAAGAAACAUGAAAGUUUCUGUAGAGAAACUGGCUCGUUUCCCAAUCGAACCAAAUACGGUAGAGAAAUACAGAACAAGAAAAUAGUGUGCUGGAAUUGCGAUAAAGUGGGACACCGAUUCGAUGACUGCAUGGGAGAAAGGCGUAUAUUCUGCUACGGUUGCGGUGCUAAAAAUACUUUUAAACCCAAUUGUAGCAAAUGCAAUCUUUUGGGAAACCGGAAGCGGGAUGCGCAGACCAACACCAGUUUGACGCAUCCCACAAAAGAAUAAAGUCCUUGCCAGAAAUACAGUCAUAUGGUAGUUUGGAGCAAUCAACUCCAAAUACUAUAUUUACAACUUAUAUGGCAAAUACAUGUUCAGUCGCCGAGACUGCAACUCAAACUGAUAUUGAAAAUAAGUACGUACCGUACCAUAUUAGAGUAAAACACUAUCUUGACACACGAAGACGAAUUUUUAGCAGCAUAGAACCCAUCGAAUUUCUCAGUCGGCCAAAACGCUCUACUGUUCGACUUAGGAAAUUCUGGAAAAAUAUUAAAAGUCUUCGUAAGAAGCUCGUUCAAUCAGUGUUUAUGAGCUCAGAUAACCGCUUGUACACUGAGUUAAGCCUAGAGGGAGAAAAAUAUGUAGCAUUAUUAGAUUCCGGAGCGACGAUUAGUUGCCUCGGUAAUGUUGCAGCUAAGUCACUGUUGUCACAUCCCAAAGCGCGCAAAUGCUCUGGAUCAAUCCGAACAGCUAACAACGCUAUUUGCCCAGUGGUAGGCAAACUGACACUUAAAGUUGAAUUCGAAAACAAGCGCAUAAUGUUGAUUUUUAUGUUAUACCCGAUUUGAAACAAGAUGUUUACUUAGGCAUAAAUUUUUGGCAGGACUUUGGACUGUUAACGAAUUUAAUUCGUCCUGAUGAGUCCGUAAAUGAAUUAGACAACAGUAACGAACAGGAUAUCCAGGAAACAGCGAAAAUGCAUCAGCUAACCGCUGAAGAAAAGUCACGAUUAAAUUCGAUCAUUUCUAAUUUCUAUUCUUAUGAAAAGGAAGGAUUAGGACGCACUGAGUUAAUCGAACAUCGCAUUGAAAUAGAUAAUGUGACCCCCGUCAAACAAAGACAUUGGCCUAUUUCGCCAGCCGUUGAAAAGCUAAUGUUUGACGAGAUCGAGAAAAUGCUAGCUUUAGAUAUAAUAGAGGUAUCGCAUAGCCCCUGGAGCAGCAACUGCGUCCUUGUGCAAAGAAAGGAUAAAAACAGGCUGUGUCUAGAUUCUCGAGUCAUAAAUAAGUACACUCGUAAAGAUGCGUACCCUCUACCCCAUAUCGACGGAAUUCUUAGUCGUCUGCCGCCGGCUAAAUAUAUAACGGGCCUCGAUAUGAAGCACGCAUUCUGGCAGAUACCCCUAGAAGAAAAAUCACGUCAGUAUACCGCUUUUACAGUCCCUAAUCGUCCAUUAUUUCAAUACAAAGUAAUGCCGUUUGGAUUGUGUAACGCUCC